CAACAAUGGGAAGAGUUUCAGAAGUUCCCCAUCUCUGAGCAGUUUCAAGUUCUUGGCAGAUGGUAGAAAGGAAGAAGCAAAGCACAGAUGUAUUAACUCAUUUGCCGCGCCGGGCACUGCGUUAGGUAUGCGAUGUCACAGAGUCACCACCACCCUGGGAAUGUUCUGCCUGUGUCACAGCAAGGAGACCUGGACUCGGAGAAGGCAGAUGACCUGCCUAGUGUGGCGUGCUUGUGGGAGGAGGGACUAAUGCUAGAGGGUAUCCUGGGAGCAAAUCACCAUCAGCCACUCCUCUAAACUCCUGGAUGUUGUUCUGAGACGUCUCACCGUGACAGCACCUGCGACACAGAUUUUGUUGUGAAGAUAUUCCUCUUGGAAAGUAUCUUGUUUGGCAAGUUCCCAUGGCCACUGGGGAUUCAACUUGAAGGGAAGCGUUAGGAAAAUAUUUUUGAUGACUCUGG
rnacentral:lncRNA from 1 species